GACGAACGCUGGCGGCGUGGAUUAGGCAUGCAAGUCGGACGGUAGGGCUUUAUCGUAAGAUAGAGUUUGAGAGUGGCGAACGGGUGAGUAACACGUAGGAAUCUACCCUUAAGACGGGGACAACCCAGGGAAACUUGGGCUAAUACCGGAUGAGAGUGCGAGAGAUUGCAUUUAAAAGGAUGGCGAAAGUUGUCGCUUAGGGAUGAGCCUGCGGUCUAUUAGUUAGUUGGUGAGGUAAGAGCUCACCAAGGCGAUGAUAGAUAGGCGGCCUUAACGGGUGGUCGCCCACACUGGUACUGAGACACGGACCAGACUCCUACGGGAGGCAGCAGUGAGGAAUAUUGGUCAAUGGGCGGAAGCCUGAACCAGCCAUGCCGCGUGCAGGAUGACGGCCCUACGGGUUGUAAACUGCUUUUCCCCGGGGCGAAUAACCCCCUCGCGAGGGGAGUGCGGUACCGGGGAAGUAAGGAGUCGGCGUAACUCCGUGCCAGCAGCCGCGGUAACACUACUCGUA
rnacentral:rRNA from 1 species